AUUGAACGCUAGCGGGGUGCUUUACACAUGCAAGUCGAACGAGGGGCGGACGGGUGAGGAAUAUAUCGGAACGUGCCCUGUAGAGGGGGAUAACUACUCGGAAGAAUGGCUGAUACCGCAUAACAUUGGAGCGGCAGAGAUCGGAUUUGCUAGUUGGUGGGGUAAAGGCUCACCAAGGCAACGAUCCGUAGCUGGUUUGAGAGGACGACCAUGCACACUGGGACGGAGACACGGCCCAGAUGCCUACGGGAGGCAGCAGUGGGGAAUUUUGGACAAUGGGGGAAACCCUGAUCCAGCCAUCCCGCGUGUAUGAGAAGGCCUUCGGGUUGUAAAGUACUUUUGGCAGAGAAGCGGUAUCUGCAGAAUAAGCACCGGCUAACUACGUGCCAGCAGCCGCGGUAAUAC
rnacentral:rRNA from 1 species